UUGGUCAUCCCAGUUUCCAAACUUUUUCGGCUGAAAAUCAAUGAAACCAAGUUUCUCUUCUUCUCCUGGUAAUCCAGUACUGCAAAACAAACAGAACCAGCAAAUCUUUCUCUUUGGACAGGUACGUCAUGUGAAAAGAAUUUAACUUUGCACUUUGCACGAAUUCCAUAAACGCGUAGUUCUUUGAUCAUUCCGUAGUUAACCAAUCUAAGAAACAAAUUUUGUAGCAUUUACAAGACACGACAACUACGUUCAUAGUAGAACAUAGAUGAGACUGUCUUGACAGACAGAGAAAAGAAAUGAAAGAAAUUUACUUACGAAAGCAG
rnacentral:lncRNA from 1 species